AUGGGCGGCCCAGGGACCGGGAACAGAUCUGGUCCUCGCGGGACCGUGUGCGAAGGCGCCCUGCGAGGCUCGGGUCUGGGGCUGGGAGGACGGGGCGGCGGCGGGAAUGGGGGCGUCCCCCGGGCUCCGGGAGGGCGGGGAAGGGUGGGGGCGGCCGAUGCCACGCGGACCCGGGCGGCAGGGAGCGGGUGGGUGGCUGCCAGGCCUGGUGGGCCAGCGGCGACUUCGGCAGCCGAAGAGGGGACAGCCCCGGAGCGCGAGCAGGCCCAGCAGCAGCCCCAGGGUUCCCCCAGUGAAGGAAAAGGACUUGUGUUAGUGUCCCCACGCCUGGUUCGUACAGGCUGGCAGGUGUCCUGGGGGUUUCCAGCGAGGAGUGUGUUGGGGAGCGCUCCUGGGUGUGGCUGCUGGGUGGGAGGGGAAGGCAGGGUCAGCAGGCCCUGGGGCGACCGGAAAGUGGGUGGCCCUUCAGAUUCAUGGCACUCGAACAAGGGGGCUGGGCCCUCCUGCCCACCAGGCCCGUCAUUGGCUACAGCGAGCUGGCUCCUCCCAGGACAGCGAGCUGGCUCCUGGACCCACGUCCUUUGGACCAGGGCCGCCCUGAGGGCUGGCGCAGCUACGUUCUCCACUGUGGCCCCAUCCUCGCCACUGGAGAGAGAGCCGCCUUUACUCCUGCAUGAGCAGGAGUUCGAGGAACAUCUGGACGACCAAAGGGCACCAGGAGGUAAUGGCUGGUGGCAAAUGUUCCAAAAGAAACAGGUGUCAGGCAAGAAGUGUUGGUUCACGGCAGUCAUUCCACUGCUUUGGGAGCCGAGGCAGGGGCAUCACUUGCCCCAGAAGUUUGAGACCAGCCUGGGCAACAUAGUGAGACCCCUGUCUCUACAAAAAAAUUAAAAUCAGUAAACAGGUCUUCCUUCCUCAAUAGCCCCGUUGCUGGCACACCUCUCUGCCUCUCCAGAUGUGAGGCAGAUCCACACGUUUAGCUAUUGAGAUAAGGCUGGGCGUGGUGACUCACACCUGUCGUUCCGGCCUCAGAUCUCUUGUGCCCAGGAGUUUUAAGACCAGCCUGGGCGACAUGGCUGGCAACAUGGCCUCCACAAAAAUAAACAUUUUAAAUAUAUAAACAUUGAGAUAAUAAAAAGCAUCUUAAUGCCUGCCUUCAUUUUUUGUCUUCUGUUUUAAGGACCAUUAGAGACAAACUAACUAAAGAGAAUUCUCCCUCCCAUGCAGCUCAUGCUGGGAAGCCGGCACUGUAAGACAGCUCCCGUGGCCAGAAAGAGGGUGGUGUGUAAACCAGGUGGUCACCCGUCACUCGGCUUCUCACGUGCUGGUGAGGGUGGUCGCCUGUCCAUGGAUCAGGGCUCACACCAGGCCCAUCUGGUGCUGUGCCACGGGAGGGGCAGAGCCACAGCCCCAAACUUGCUGUGCGUUUCCCGUGUCCUCCCUGCCCUGCAGUCCCCUGGCCCCAGCUCUGGAUUUGACGCCCCCUGCUUCCUGCUGUACCCGCCAAGAGAAGCGCAGCAUGUGUGCCUGCCCUUGCCCCCAUGCUGUUACCCUGCUCUGGGUACCAAGGACACAGGCACAGCAGAGCCCCCACCCUCAAGGCACCUGCCAUCUUGUGAGAGGGACAGGCUGAGGGGCAAAUGACCGGAAAGGGUGGCAAGUGCCAUGUCAGACAUAUGGUCUUCAUACAGGGGACGUCCCAGGACUGCUGGGCCAGAGACCCUUCCUUGUGGGUCAGCAUCACCCAAGCCAAAGGCCAAGGAGGUCCCUUGGGGGCUGUGGCCAUCAGAACAAAGCUGCCAAUGAACAGACCCUUAAAGGAGUGGCCAGCUAGUGAGGCUGUGACUGGCCCUGGCUGCAUCCAGACCCUAAAGUGUCCUGCAGCCAGGGGCAGACACAGGUUUUGUGGGGCCUGAGGCUUCUGUGGUUUUAGGGAACUUCCUUAAGAAAAUACAAAAUUAGGAACAGGCCUUGAAGCUUCUGUUGCCAAACUUAGGGUCAGGUGAACCCACUGCCAACUGUGCCCAGAAGACAGCCCCCCAGGCUGAGUCAAAAGUGGUUCAUAGGCCGGGCGUGGUGGCUCAUGCCUGUAAUCCCUGCACUUUCGGAGGCCAAAGUGGGCAGAUCACGAGGUCAGGAGAUCAAGACCAUCCUGACUAGCACGGUGAAACCCUGUCUCUACUAAAAAUACAAAAAAAAAAAAAAAAAAAAUUAGCCAGGCGUGGUAGCAGGCACCUGCAGUCCCAGCUACUGGGGAGGCUGAGGCAGGAGAAUGGCGUGAACACCGUAGGCAGAGCUUGCAGUGAGCCGAGAUCGCGCCACUGCACUCCAGCCUGGGUGACGGAGUGAGGCUCUGUCUCAAAAAAAAAAAAAAAAAAAAAAAUAGUGGUUCACAAAAUCACCUCUAGUAUGACCCCUCGUCAGCACAAACAUAUUCUUAGAUGUCUGUUUCUGGGUGAAGUCCUGGAAGCAGAUAAAUGUUUGCAGAGGUGAUGUGUGUGUGGUGGGAUUAGAGAGAUGAAUAUAUUUUACUUUUUUUUUUUUUUAACAUUUCUGUACUUCUGAUUUUAUGUUUUCAGCGUGACCAAAAAAAAAAAAAAAAAAAAAAAAAAAAGCUGGAUUUGGACAAUUAAGAAGUGCAUAUCAGCCAGAGUGGCCUGAAACAUGUCCCUGUAGUAGAAUCUCCAGGAAAGCUGGGGCCCUCACUCGCCAGUACCUCAGGCUGGGCCCGCAGUCACGUGCUUCUCCCUACAGGAGGGUUCUAUGUCCUGAAUUCCAAAGGUGCAGCUGUCCCCUUGUCAGCUUGUCUGCGUUGAUGGUUCCACACUCUCUGGUCGGCCAUCUGCCCCACCAGUCUCUGCUCCCCGCUAGAUGGUGAUGGCCAGCUGUGAGGGUGGCUGCCCAGGCUG
rnacentral:lncRNA from 1 species